rnacentral:miRNA from 1 species
UUAUCAGACUUGUUACAAGGUUGUUCUAACAAGACUGAUGCAGUCGUGAUGAAGCGAGAACGCCACACGGUUGACAACACAAGGUCGUUACAGUAUUGUUGUAUCAUGACUGUAUCGGACUUGGUGGAACAACCUUGCAACAAGUCUGAUAA